rnacentral:lncRNA from 12 species
AUGCAGUUGAAGGAGGCCAUGCAAGCUCUGAGCUUCAGAGGGCACAUGAGAGGCGUGCAGAGCUCCUGCUGUGGCUGCUGGGAAGUGCCAUGGUGUUCCAAAGGGCCGCCAGUGUGGAGCAGGAAGUGGUCAUGUAGAGGCAACGUAAUGGUAUGCGGCUGUGCAAGAAUAAGUUCUGUUGGAACGGUCUGUGUUUCAGGCACCAGAACCCAAGCAUUGGUAGGACCCUGCCACCACCCACGUCGGGGAAGCCAUGCAGGAGAAGGCACUGCGGUGGUCCUGCCCGUUCUCACUGAUGUCACAUUCUGGCAGGACAUAGAGCAAUAGGACCAAGAAUGACCGACCCUGAGUCUAGGUCUAUUUAUGGCUGUGGCCUUGGAGAGCUAAAUUUCAUCAGAUUCCAAAUCAGAUGAGUUUCCUCUGGGCUGUAGAGAUGCUAUCAGGUGCCUGCAUCUUCCCCGGGUGUCAGUAUGGGUGAUGAAGGCCCUCGGAGGGACAGCCAGGGCAGCCAGAGGGCAAGCAGGCAAGAGCCAGCUCAGGAAGGCAGAAGUGCCUGCCCCUGGAGGCCCAGACAAUACAUGAAUCCCUUCUUUCCUGUGGUCUUUCACCCACUUGAAAGACAUGCCACGAAUAUGCAGUUUUGCUUGCAGUGAUGUGGGACCAGAGAGAUUUUGCAUCAGCAGUAUUUGUUGGGAAACAUGGCAAAGUCAGGGGGAGCCCCGUAUUUCUCCUUAUCAUGUGGAUGGUAGCCGGCUCAGGGAACAAAGAAAGGUAUCUGAUCGAGGAAGUGGUUAAUUCACAAAACCAUAACUGAUGUGAGUCUGUAAGUCAAGCUGAGAAGGUGGCUCUGAGUAAACUGGAGUCCCAAGGGACACGGGAAGGGCCUCCCCACGUGGGUCAGCGAGGGUUCCCCUUGCUCCGUGGACACGGGGGACAGCAUGGCACAUCAGCCUGCCCUCACUCCGGCUGGCUCCUCUGCAUGAAGGAAUCCCCGCUAUCCUUGAAGGGCAUCUGUCUCCUCGCAUCCCCGCGGCUGGCAUCCCUGUCUUGCUGCUUGCUAAGAAUCCAGAACAGAUUCAGGUCAGUGCAUUUCGAGGCAGCUAAACGCUGGAUAAAUGGCAUUGUACGUAAAUUUCAGUGGCACAGCCAGGGUUACCCGCGGCCUUGCUCGCAGCAGCUAACAGGUGUGAGCUAAUGUCACGGAUGUAACCUUGCUUCUCCGGUGGUGCCGCUGCCAAGGCUGGAUUCCUCCCCGCUCUGUCCCGGCUGCUUCAUGGAACGGUUUCAGCUUGUGCCACUCCAGCCGUCUUUUUGAAGUCUGGGCAGA